CCCCCGCAGGCUCACUAGUGCCCAGACUGGGCUGGGUGAGUAUCUCUUCGAAAGGCUCACCCGCAAGCACAACUAGGAGC
rnacentral:pre_miRNA from 1 species